GUAGAAAUAGCUUAAUGGCAGAGCAUAGCCUUGCCGAGGCUAAGGUUGAGGGUUCAAGUCCCUCUUUCCACU